rnacentral:lncRNA from 1 species
UGAUAGAAUUCAUUGAUUUAUUUUAUUUCUUUAGGGAUAUACUUUACUUCUAUGGAAUUAGGUUCUCUCUAAACCUAUUCAUACUACACCGUAUGAGAUAUAGCAUGGUGAGAACUGAAUCUUAGUUAUUUCAAGAUAUAAGGAUGUCCAGCCUAUGUCUAGGAUAGCAGGUGGAUAUAUUAAAGGAUAGGUCUAUAAAGC